AUUUAUAUAGUUUAAUUAAAACAUUACAUUUUCAUUGUAAAAAUAAAAUAUAAAAUUUUUUUAAAUA
rnacentral:tRNA from 2 species